GUUUCAGAGAGAGAUAGAACAUAUUUGAUCGCCGGUGAGGGACCUCUGACCAACGAAUGUAAUCUUCAAACUCAAGUUGCCGCCAUGGUUUUUGGUCAGAGUUUGGUAGCAAAUGAAGAGUUUUUACAUGACCUUUUACAUGUUUGGCAGAUCAAAUCCUUUACAGGCUGGUUCUCAAGCUGAGUUUUUCCGUUAGUUAUGUGAAGUGCACAAUGUUGUUAACAUGAGUUGGCUGGUGGUGUUGCUGUCAAAGUUGUCAGUCGUGAUGUUCCCUUCCAACCAUGAAAGGAG